rnacentral:misc_RNA from 1 species
CCAAACUUGGUCAUUUAGAGGAAGUAAAAGUCGUAACAAGGUUUCCGUAGGUGAACCUGCGGAAGGAUCAUUAUUGAGAGUCUCUGGGUUAACUUGUUGUUGCUGGUCUCUUAACUGAGGCAAGUGCACGCAUGUUCCCUUUCUCUUCUCAUCCACCUGUGCACUUUCUGUAGACCUAGAGAAAAACAAUUCUGAGCUAGCUCAGGCAGGAGGAGUUGCAGGCUUUUGUAAGUCGGCUCUCCUUGAGUAUCUAGGUUUAUGUUUUUCAUAUACACCAAUGAAAUGUAACAGAAUGUAGUCAAUGGGUCUUGUACCUAUAACAAAAUUAUACAACUUUCAACAACGGAUCUCUUGGCUCUCGCAUCGAUGAAGAACGCAGC